rnacentral:misc_RNA from 1 species
ACUUUUUUGCAUAUAUAUAUAUAUAAUAUAUAUAUGUCUGUGU